AUCGCAAAAGUCAUCCUUUAUUAUAAACUUGAAAUCAAGUUUAGCCAAAAGGUCUACAGAGAUGACAUUCAUCAAAAAGGAGGGACAAUAAUGAUAAUCAUUUAACAAGAUACUACUGGACUCGAAGACAAGCUUUAAAGUUCCUAGAACUAGAACAAAACUUCUAUCUCUAACAUUGAGGAACUACUCGCCAUCUCUAAACUUCUUACUUAUCUGUCGUCCCUGUAAUGAAUUGAAUAUAUUAAUAAGACUUUCAAUAUCCAAUACCC
rnacentral:lncRNA from 1 species